CCUGGCGGCCAUAGCGCGGUGGACCCACCUGAUCCCAUGCCGAACUCAGAAGUGAAACGCCGUAGCGCCGAUGGUAGUGUGGGGUCUCCCCAUGCGAGAGUAGGACACUG
rnacentral:rRNA from 1 species